rnacentral:sRNA from 1 species
AGUGUUUUCUUCACUCAUGGUGAAGAAUGGGGGAGAUAGAAGGAACAUACAGAGUCCUGCAGACUGCAGGGACGCGCUUGGGUGCCCAGACCCCUGUGGGAGUUAGCACCCUUGAGCCUGGGCAGGCUCUCUUGCCCAGAAUGCAAGAGAAGCACCUGCACCUCAGAGUAAAGCUGCUGGACCACACCUUGGAAAUAUUUGACAUUGAGCACUGUUAUUCUCUUUUAUACUUGGGAAAACAGAGGUACAGAGGUUUUUUUGAAAAACUUAACCGGGUACUAGAGGUUCCAGCCAGAGCAAUUAGGAAAAAAGAAAGGGAGGGAGGAGAAAAGAAAGGAAGAGAGGGAGGACAUCCACAUUGGAAAGGAACCUAAAUGCGAUGGCCAGGUAUUACUGACACAAGUGUGGAAGCGUUUAAACCUGGUAGAAUGUGACUACUUCGGG